rnacentral:rRNA from 1 species
UGGGGAAUAUUGCACAAUGGGCGCAAGCCUGAUGCAGCGACGCCGCGUGCGGGAUGGAGGCCUUCGGGUUGUAAACCGCUUUGUUCAAGGGCAAGGCACGGCUUCGGGCCGUGUUGAGUGGAUUGGUUUCGAACU